UCUCCCUAGGUCUAGUGGUAUGACGCAUCCUUCACACCACAACAGUGCAGAACGGAUGAGGCCCCGGGUUCGAGACCCGGUGGGAGUA